ACGAAAUGCUUGUCGUGAAGGGUUGUAGCUGGUCCCCUCGGGGCACACGUGCACGCCCGGAUCGCAUCCACCUCCAACACCUGUGCACGACCUGUAGCUUGGGAUGAUCACGGGGCCCCCGUUGGCCACGAAUGCCCUCGUCUACGAAGUAUCUCACACACAACCAGUCAUGUGGAAUGUACAUGCGAAGCGUCUAACGGACGCGACAAACA
rnacentral:misc_RNA from 1 species